rnacentral:rRNA from 1 species
UACGUAGGCAGCGAGCGUUGUUCGGAAUUACUGGGCGUAAAGAGUGUGUAGGCGGUGCUCUAAGUUCGGUGUGAAAUCUCCCGGCUUAACUGGGAGGGUGCGCCGGAAACUGGAGUGCUCGAACGUGGGAGAGGAAAGCGGAAUUCCCGGUGUAGCGGUGAAAUGCGUAGAUAUCAGGAGGAACACCGGUGGUGCAGACGGCUCUCUGGACCGUAACU